rnacentral:rRNA from 1 species
UAGGGAAUCUUCCACAAUGGACGAAAGUCUGAUGGAGCAACGCCGCGUGAGUGAAGAAGGUUUUCGGAUCGUAAAGCUCUGUUGUUGGUGAAGAAGGAUAGAGGCAGUAACUGGUCUUUAUUUGACGGUAAUCAACCAGAAGUCACGGCUAACUACGUGCCGG